rnacentral:lncRNA from 1 species
CACAAGCAUCAUCUUCACGCUCCUGGAUUUCGUCCGUCUUCGAUUUCAUUUGGGACCAAGUAAGCCUGUUUCGGAUUCCGAAUUUAACAGCCUAGCCACGUUGGAUCACUAGUUCCCAUCGAAUUACUAAAGUCAAGCAAUGUGUGGGUACAGUUAGUAAAAUGGAUGGGUGAAAGGUGUUCGUAGAGAAGUGACUCGAACUCAUAAAAGGGAGAGUAAAGAGAUACAUAUAUACUCUUCAAUUUUUUUUAUUAGUCUAAUAAAUUUAUGUCAUUGCUUUCAGUGCUACAUAUUUUCAAAGUAAAGUAUAAUUAUUUGCAUAAUAUUUUCACAAACAGUCAAUAGAUUUCUAACCUUUCGAGGUUAAGAAAGUUAUUGACUUUUAUUCAUCUGUACGACAAAAGUUUAACAUUAUCUUAGGAAGUCGAUGUAUAUUACCGAACAUAAAUCAUUUAUUAUAUUUUGCAAUAAAAUUGAUCGACAUGCCAUAAUGAAUUGUGAA